UACGUAGGGUGCGAGCGUUAAUCGGAAUUACUGGGCGUAAAGCGUGCGCAGGCGGUUUGUUGUGUCGGUGGUGAAAGCCCCGGGCUUAACCUGGGAAUGGCCAUGGAAACUGGCGAACUGGAGUGUGGCAGAGGGGGGUGGAAUUCCGCGUGUAGCAGUGAAAUGCGUAGAGAUGCGGAGGAACACCGAUGGCGAAGGCAGCCCCCUGGGCUGACACUGACGCUCAGGCACGAAAGCGUGGGGAGCAAACAGG
rnacentral:rRNA from 1 species